CACACACACAGUAAUGCAUUAGUACUACUAGUACUACUACUAUUAAUAAUGAAACACACACAGUACUGCAUUAGGUCUCAACUAGUACUAAUACUAGAAGUACUAAUACUGAGACUAACAGAGAAUUUAAUUCAAAGGUCCAACAUCAACAGAAACCUGCUGAUCAGCUCAUAAAUCUGCUGAUACUACUCGUACUAUUAGUACUACAGAUACUACUAAUACUGAGCUGGGACUACCACUAAUAGUACUAUCUAUGUAUAUGUAUAUAGACAGAUUGCAUAGAUAGAUCAGAUACACUCACUGUCCUUAGAUAGAUGGAAAGAUAUGGAUAGGUAGAUAUUGAUAGGUAGAUAUGGAUAGGUAGAUAUUGAUAGGUAGAUAUUGAUAGGUAGAUAUGGAUAGGUAGAUAUUGAUAGGUAGAUAUUGAUAGGUAGAUAUGGAUAGGUAGAUAUUGAUAGGUAGAUAUUGAUAGGUAGAUAUGGAUAGGUAGAUAUGGAUAGGUAGAUAUUGAUAGGUAGAUAUGGAUAGGUAGAUAUGGAUAGGUAGAUAUGGAUAGGUAGAUAUUGAUAGGUAGAUAUGGAUAGGUAGAUAUGGAUAGGUAGAUAUUGAUAGGUAGAUAUGGAUAGGUAGAUAUUGAUAGGUAGAUAUGGAUAGGUAGAUAUUGAUAGGUAGAUAUGGAUAGGUAGAUAUUGAUAGGUAGAUAUUGAUAGGUAGAUAUGGAUAGGUAGAUAUGGAUAGGUAGAUAUUGAUAGGUAGAUAUGGAUAGGUAGAUAUUGAUAGGUAGAUAUGGAUAGGUAGAUAUGGAUAGGUAGAUAUGGAUAGGUAGAUAUUGAUAGGCAGAUAUGGAUAGGUAGAUAUGGAUAGGUAGAUAUGGAUAGGUAGAUAUGGAUAGGUAGAUAUGGAUAGGUAGAUAUUGAUAGGCAGAUAUGGAUAGGUAGAUAUGGAUAGGUAGAUAUGGAUAGGUAGAUAUUGAUAGGUAGAUAUUGAUAGGUAGAUAUGGAUAGGUAGAUAUGGAUAGAUUUAGAAUGUACUGUUCCGUACUCUUGGUGACACAGUGCUCUGCAGGCAGCAGCCUCUUCUUGAUCAAACCCUGAAGAACGGAUCGAACUG